CUCGUAGGCGGUUUGUCACGUCGUCUGUGGAAUCCUAGGGCUUAACCCUGGACGUGCAGGCGAUGCGGGCUGACUUGAGUACUACAGGGGAGACUGGAAUUUCUGGUGUAGCGGUGGAAUGCACAGAUAUCAGGAAGAACACCGAUGGCGAAGGCAGGUCUCUGGGUAGUAACUGACGCUGAGGAGCGAAAGCAUGGGUAGCGAACA
rnacentral:rRNA from 1 species